GCCACUUCUUGUGGAUAGCUCAGUUGGUAAAAGCGUCAGACUCUUAAUGUCAGGGUUUGUGAGUUUGAGCCCCACAUUGGGCA